rnacentral:rRNA from 1 species
UACAGAGGUCCCAAGCGUUGUUCGGAUUCAUUGGGCGUAAAGGGUGCGUAGGCGGCGCGGUGAGUCGGGUGUGAAAUCUCGGAGCUUAACUCUGAAACUGCAUUCGAUACUGCCGUGCUUGAGGACUGGAGAGGAGACUGGAAUUUACGGUGUAGCGGUGAAAUGCGUAGAUAUCGUAAGGAAGACCAGUGGCGAAGGCGGGUCUCUGGACAGUUCCUGACGCUGAGGCACGAAGGCCAGGGGAGCAAACGGG